rnacentral:rRNA from 1 species
AACUAUAAACUGUGAAUAUCUUGACUCUCGGAUUGAUGAAGAACGUAGAAAACUGCGAUAAUUCACUUGAAUUGCAGACUACUGUGAUUGCCGAAAUGUUGAACACACAUGAUAAGGUUGGGGCUUACGCUUUAUGUGAUUUUA